rnacentral:tRNA from 1 species
GGUGGCUUAGUGGUAGAGCGCUUGCUUUGUAUGCCUGAGGCCCUGGGUUCAAUUCCUCAGCACCA